rfam:Ovis aries breed Texel chromosome 3, whole genome shotgun sequence.
UCCCUGGUGGCUCAGCUGGUAAAGAAUCUGCCUGCAAUGCAGGAGACCUGGGUUCGAUCCCAGGUUGGGAA